UGCUCUUUGCUUGCGCAACAACUGCCGACCCCUCAUCCGUUUCAUUUUUGCCCCCAAGAUUGAGCGUGCUCUUCUUGGUCACGACCCUCGGUUCCUGUGUUGCCUUCCCAUCGUAUGGAAAAAUUCAUCGGAUAGCCCCGCACCUGUCCUCCUUGUGGCUUUGCGGCUGCAAUGCGGACCUCGAAAGCAGUCCCCGUGUCCCGGACAUAUCCACUGACUCUUGCUGUGGCUGUCUCGGUCCGCAGGACAACUGCUCGUGCUCCCGGAUGUGGAAAAUUAAGCGGACGCGUGGGGGGGGGUCUCGGCCUCCUGUUGCUCCAAUCAAGUCCCUCGAUAAGAAUGACUCUKGCUACCCCA
rnacentral:misc_RNA from 1 species